rnacentral:tRNA from 1 species
GUGGCCAUAGCUCAGUUGGUAGAGCACCGGGUUGUGGUCCCGGUUGUCGCGGGUUCGAGCCCCGUUGGCCACC